rnacentral:misc_RNA from 1 species
GCUUGCGGCUGGAUCCCCUCCUUUCUAAGGAUACUGGCGGAAGCCCUGCUCACAGGGUCUCUUCCGGUUUCUCUUACAUCGUCGGCGGUACCCGCCGUCUCCGUAUCCCUUUCCAGGACUUUCGCUCGACCGACGCUCUCGGCUCAUUUCUCUCGAUCUAGUCUAUCGACAGAGCAGGCGCGCUUGCGCUAUUCAGCGCGUGGCGCGCAAACGGGACGGGCCAAACAGGAUGGGCAUGUAGCUCAGCCGGUUAGAGCGCACGCCUGAUAAGCGUGAGGUCGGUAGUUCGAGUCUACCCAGGCCCACCAGUUUGCCGCUGGCGGUUCCCGUCCAUCGAUUGUGUCGGGGCUGUAGCUCAGUUGGGAGAGCGCCUGCUUUGCAAGCAGGAGGUCGUCGGUUCGAACCCGUCCAGCUCCACCAUACUUCGGUCGUGAAGGGUGUGGCGCGGCCGCCGCCGAAAGUCCUUGGAAAUAGAGUUUCCCGCGAGAGCCCUUCGGGCUCGCGUCGGAAUAUCGUUCAUUGUCAUCGUGAAGAGAUGUUGCACUGACAAGCGACAUGCGUCCGUCGCCUCUUACCAGGAGGGUGGCGGCACAUGUCAGCGGGUCAAUUCGCAACGAGUCGAGAUCGUCGGCGUAGAGGCCGAUGCCGAAGUUUGUUCUGCAAACCAGGCAUUUUCCCCUGCGAGCGACGAUGUCGUUGAACAAGCGCAAAAAGGGCGUUUGGUGGAUGCCUUGGCACUGAGAGGCGAUGAAGGACGUGACACCCUGCGAUAAGCUACGGGGAGGCGGGAGUAGCCUUUGAUCCGUAGAUCUCCGAAUGGGGAAACCCAAGC